rnacentral:snoRNA from 1 species
AUUUUAUGAUGAAAAAAAUUUUUCAGUUCUGCUUCUGCAAAUUUAUUGAAGAUAACAAAAUACCUUACCAAAUCCUCUGAUAU